GACUACCGGGGUAUCUAAGCCUGUUUGCUCCCCACGCUUUCGCUUCUCAGCGUCAGGAAAGGUCCAGAGAACCGCCUUCGCCACUGGUGUUCCUCCCGAUAUCUGCGCAUUCCACCGCUCCACCGGGAAUUCCAUUCUCCCCUACCUUCCUCCAGUCAGCCCGUAUCGAAAGCAGGCUCAGAGUUAAGCCCUGAGUUUGCACUUUCGACGCAACCAACCGCCUACAAGCUCUUUACGCCCAAUAAAUCCGGACAACGCUCGCACCCUACGUAUCACCGCGGCUGCUGGCACGUAGUUAGCCGGUGCUUCUUCUGCAGGUACCGUCACUCACGCUUCGUCCCUGCUGAAAGCGGUUUACAACCCGAAGGCCGUCAUCCCGCACGCGGCGUUGCUGCAUCAGGCUUCCGCCCAUUGUGCAAUAUUCCCCACUGCAGCCCCCCGUAGG
rnacentral:rRNA from 1 species